GGCGUGUGUGCCGUGUCGUGUUUGUCAUCCUUCCAGAGAGCUGCGUCUACCAUUCACUUGGCCGGACGUACGCGAUCUGGAUCGAUUACUUUGAAAAAAUUAGAGUGUUUAAAGCAGGCUUACGCUGUGAAUACAUUAGCAUGGAAUAAUAAUUUAGGACUUCGGUUCUAUUUUGUUGGUUUCUAGGACUGAAGUAAUGAUUGAUAGGGACAGUUGGGGGUGCUAGUAUUCCGCGGCCAGAGGUGAAAUUCUUGGAUUCGCGGAAGACUAACUACUGCGAAAGCAUUCACCAAGGAUGUCUUCUUUAAUCAAGAACGAAAGUUGGGGGAUCGAAGACGAUCAGAUACCGUCGUAGUCUCAACCAUAAACUAUACCGACUAAGGAUCAGUGAACGUUGAUUUACGACUUCAUUGGCACUUUGUGAGAAAUCAAAGUCUUUGGGUUCCGGGGGGAGUAUGGUCGCAAGGCUGAAACUUAAAGGAAUUGACGGAAGGGCACCACCAGGAGUGGAGCCUGCGGCUUAAUUUGACUCAACACGGGAAAACUCACCAGGUCCGGACAUGGUAAGGAUUGACAGAUUGAGAGCACUUUUAAGAUUUCAUGGGAGGUGGUGCAUGGCCGUUCUUAGUUGGUGGAGUGAUUUGUCAGGUUAAUUCCGAUAACGAGCGAGACCCUGUGAUGACGGUAAUGAUUGAGUAUGUAAAUACGCGAGACGUUUCUUCAUUGACACCCCA
rnacentral:rRNA from 1 species